rnacentral:rRNA from 1 species
AUUGAACGCUGGCGGCAGGCCUGACACAUGCAAGUCGAACGAGCGGCGGACGGGUGAGUAAUGUCUGGGAAACUGCCUGAUGGAGGGGGAUAACUACUGGAAACGGUAGCUAAUACCGCAUACCCUCGGAUGUGCCCAGAUGGGAUUAGCUAGUAGGUGGGGUAAAGGCUCACCUAGGCGACGAUCCCUAGCUGGGCUGAGAGGAUGACCAGCCACACUGGAACUGAGACGCGGUCCAGACUCCUACGAGAGGCAGCAGUGGGGAGUAUUGCACAAUGGGCGCAAGCCUGAUGCAGCCAUGCCGCGUGUAUGGAGAAGGCCUUCGGGUUGGAAAGUACUUUCAGCGGGGAGGCGUUACCCGCAGAAGAAGCACCGGCUAACUCCGUGCCAGCCGCCGCGGUAAUAC